rnacentral:rRNA from 1 species
UGGCGACCGGCGCACGGGUGAGUAACACGUAUCCAACCUGCCGAUAACUCGGGGAUAGCCUUUCGAAAGAAAGAUUAAUAUCCGAUAGCAUACCAAGAUCGCAUGAUCUUGAUAUUAAAGAAUUUCGGUUAUCGAUGGGGAUGCGUUCCAUUAGUUAGUUGGCGGGGUAACGGCCCACCAAGACGACGAUGGAUAGGGGUUCUGAGAGGAAGGUCCCCCACAUUGGAACUGAGACACGGUCCAAACUCCUACGGAAGGCAGCAG